GACGAACGCUGGCGGCGUGCUUAACACAUGCAAGUCGAACGGAAAGGCCUCUUUCGGGGGGUACUCGAGUGGCGAACGGGUGAGUAACACGUGAGUAACCUGCCCUUGACUUUGGGAUAACUUCAGGAAACUGGGGCUAAUACCGGAUAGGAGCUCCUGCUGCAUGGUGGGGGUUGGAAAGUUUCGGCGGUUGGGGAUGGACUCGCGGCUUAUCAGCUUGUUGGUGGGGUAGUGGCUUACCAAGGCUUUGACGGGUAGCCCGCCUGAGAGGGUGACCGGCCACAUUGGGACUGAGAUACGGCCCAGACUCCUACGGGAGGCAGCAGUGGGGAAUAUUGCACAAUGGGUGGAAGCCUGAUGCAGCAACGCCGUGUGCGGGAUGACGGCCUUCGGGUUGUAAACCGCUUUCGCUCAUGACGAAGCUUUGUGUGACGGUAGUGGGUAAAGAAGCACCGGCUAACUACGUG
rnacentral:rRNA from 1 species